AUCGCGCCCUAAUAAGGUGAGGAAAGUCCGUGCAUUCAAGGACGAGUAGCCGGAGAAACUCCGGACGGUGUGAACCGGUGGAUAGGACCACAGGAAUGAUACUGCUAACGGCUUUAAAAGUACGAGCGAUGGUGCAACGGUGAGUUAAGAGCUUCACCAGCGAUAUCGAGAGAUAUCGGCUAGGCAACCCCCUACAGAAUGCAAGAUUAAAUUGAAGGCUAUAAAGGCUGUCCGCCCACUUCUAAAAUAUCGCUAGAGAUUGGGAGCAAUCUCAAUACCAGACAGAUGAUUGUUUAAAAACAGAACACGGCUUAUGAGUUACUU
rnacentral:RNase_P_RNA from 1 species